GUGAGGAUGGGGCUAGAGGAACUGGAAAGACCUUCCUAUAUGGAUAUGCAUUUUAACAGGGAAGAGAGGAAAGGAAACUUGAGCAACCCAGACAGCCAGGCUGAAGUUUGAAGCACCCCACCAAGUCCUGGCCGGCAGAACACCUGGGGGUUGUUCCCUGCCUGGGAAGAGGGCGGAUCUGAGCAGGACUCUCACCUGAAGAACUGGCUGGCAAAGCGUGAGAGCUGGCAGCUGACACGGAAGCAAACGGCUACUGUAGGGCUUGGAGGUCGUUAAGCUGAAUAAGGAGCUGUGAUUCGUCAUUUUUUUAAACUGGAAUAAAAUUGCUUUACAAUGU